UAUAUAUAAGUAUUUAAUAGCACAAGAAGUUUUGAUCUUCUAAGAAUUAAUGAGAUUCUAUUUAUAUAA
rnacentral:tRNA from 1 species